rnacentral:rRNA from 1 species
GACGAACGCUGGCGGCGUGCCUAACACAUGCAAGUCGAACGGUAGCACAGAGAGCUUGCUCUCGGGUGACGAGUGGCGGACGGGUGAGUAAUACAUCGGAACGUGCCCGAUCGUGGGGGAUAACGGAGCGAAAGCUUUGCUAAUACCGCAUACGAUCUACGGAUGAAAGCAGGGGACCGCAAGGCCUUGCGCGGACGGAGCGGCCGAUGGCAGAUUAGGUAGUUGGUGGGAUAAAAGCUUACCAAGCCGACGAUCUGUAGCUGGUCUGAGAGGACGACCAGCCACACUGGGACUGAGACACGGCCCAGACUCCUACGGGAGGCAGCAGUGGGGAAUUUUGGACAAUGGGCGAAAGCCUGAUCCAGCCAUGCCGCGUGCAGGAUGAAGGCCUUCGGGUUGUAAACUGCUUUUGUACGGAACGAAAAGCCUCUUUCUAAUAAAGAGAGGUCAUGACGGUACCGUAAGAAUAAGCACCGGCUAACUACGUGCCAGCCGCCGCGGUAACAC